rnacentral:rRNA from 1 species
UACAGAGAGUGCAAGCGUUAAUCGGAAUUACUGGGCGUAAAGCGCACGUAGGUGGAUAUUUAAGUCGGAUGUGAAAUCCCUGGGCUUAACUCAGGAAUUGCAUUCGAUACUGGAUAUCUAGAGUAUAGUAGAGGGAGGUGGAAUUUCCGGUGUAGCGGUGAAAUGCGUAGAUAUCGGAAAGAACAUCAGUGGCGAAGGCGGCCUCCUGGACUAAUACUGACACUUAGGUGCGAAAGCGUGGGGAGCAAACAGG